CUGCAUGAACCGCCAUUCAGCAUUUAAUUUACAUCAUAUAAAAGGAUAAACAGAUAAUUAUCAUGGAAUAAGUAUAUCAACAUACAUGGACUGCAAUAAAGCAUAACAUUAGUAACAUAUGAUCUAAAAAUAAAAUGAUAGACGACGUUAUUGUUCUUCUUGGUCACGCUGGUGCCAUUGAUUGAAUUCGUUUAACAAUUUAUUGAUUCGAUCUAAAAACAAAUCAUCGAUAUUAGCAGGCGUCUGACUAUUCCCAAAUCCCUGAGUGUUAGUGUUUUGUUGUGUUCCCAAUCUAAAAUCCCCGAAGAUUGUCCAUCCUUCACGCUCACCUGCAAUGUCGUGCUCAUCCCUACACUGUU
rnacentral:lncRNA from 1 species